rnacentral:lncRNA from 1 species
UUAGUUUACACAAUAUCUGUAGACUAUCCGUAUAUUGACAGUCAAAAGGCACAUCAACCGCGCAUUUAUCCUCAAACAUUGAUAUUUCCUUUCCUCUAUGUCCCUUACAGUGGAACGGAACACAACACAAAUCGAUAACAUAUGGUUCUUCUUGUUUGUAAAUUUAAGUGAGGUUAUGUUUCAUUGUUUAUUUUGGUUUGAACUUGAACUAGACCAAAAUAUUUUAUAGCCUAAUCAGUGGUUAAUAUUUGUAAUAGAAAGGUUGUUAUGAAAAUUAAUACCUAUUCAUUUGGACAAUGGACUGUAGAGCACAUAAAAAGACGAUACAAUGUGCCGACCGAAUAGCUAUACUUGAUGUAUAUAAACAAAUAAAAAAGUGCCAUCCAGAAGAAAAUGUAACAUUUUGGGUUAGGAAAACCAGUGAAAUGACUGCAGUAAGCCAACGCUCAAUAUACAGAUUUCGGAAAGAGGAAAGUAAAGGACAGAUGUUGAUUCCAAGAAAGACUAGACGGAAUGUGGAAUAUCAAACAAGUAGACGUUUAAAAUAUGAUGGUUAUGUUACUGGAACCAUAAUUAGAAAGGUAGAAUCCUUCUUUGCUGAAAAUUCCUCACCAACACUGUCUUCAAUUUUACAAAGAGUCAAUGAUGACCCAAAACUCCCUACAUUUAAGAGAACAACUUUGUGGAGAUUACUGAAAGAAAAUGGAUUCUUGUUUGAAAAGAACCAUAGGAGAUCAAUUUUAUCAUGUCCAUUAAAAGAUGACCGAUUAAAAAAAUGGAAUCAAGGAGAUGAAAGUAAUAAAGUAUUUGAUGCAAACAAUCAAAAUAUUGACAACAGUGACACUGACAUUGAGCCUCCAUUGAUAAUGUUGUUAAAUGAAUCAUCUUCAGCUGAACCUACUCCCACUGAUUACGCUUGCAAAUCGUAGUUUUGAGUUCUAUAAACAUAUGUAAUUAAUUCCAGAGGUUCAUUAUAUAGGCAGAAUAUUCUCAACGUUCCAAAGAUUACAUAAGAGGCUGCCUUAAGAACAUGGUGGAAAAUGCUGAUAUAAGGGAGCAACUCAAUGUAGGGGGUAUGGUCAUCCUGGUGAAUCCUGAUAAGAGGAACAUUGGCAUCAUGCAAGUUGUCACCAAGAAUAUGCCCAACUGCAGGCUAGAAGGAAGACAGUGAGUUGUGACGCAAGAAGGAGAUGAACGAGAACAAGAAGAUAAGGAUUCAGGAUUGGAAGCUUGGCGGUACGAGCCUUCUGAGGAAAGAUAACAGGCUCUAUCUCGGUGAUGUCACCUUGGAAGAAGGGAAGACCAGCUUUGUUCACUUAGAAGAAGAAGAUAAGGAUUCAGGAUCGGAAACUUAGCGGUACGAGCCUUCUGAGGAAAGAUAACAGGCUCUAUCUCGGUCAUGUCACCUUGGAAGAAGGGAAGACUAGCUUUGUUCACUUAGAACAAGAAGAUAAGGAUUCACAAUGGGAAGGUUGAAGGUAGGAGCCACCUGAGGAGAGAUAACAGGCAUUAUCUCGGUCAUGUCACCUUGGAAGAAAGGAAUGCUAGCUUUUCAGUCAAAGCGGUCGAGGGAGACAAUAUCCCUCCACGUCUGGGCUUGAAAAAAAAAAACAUUUCCACUCCAACACCUAUCCUCCAAAGUAAACUCGACCUACUUUUUUAUCAUGCGGUUAGUGGUAAUGUCAGUGCCGCUCCUGUACAUCCAAAUAAGGUUGUCCAGAUCUUGUAAGUGACAAAUCUGUUUUUGCUGUACUCAUUAUUGGUUCUACCAGUAGUUUUAAAUCAGCUCUUAGCAAACUCUUUUGGAAAUACUGAUUGCUUACUUUUACAUUUACUAAUUUAUCCAUUGUGUAUUAUUUUGGAUUAUUUGUUCAUUGUUCAGUAGCUUCUAACAAUGUCCAUGACAAGAGAAGCAAAACUUAAUAUAGCGAGAUUGACUAAAAUUUUUAAUUAUAUUUGAAAUACUUGCUAACACUUUAUUAUAUAUACACUCGCCAGCCCUCAAUAGUAUGACUUUGUGAUACAGAUUUAUUUCUCGAUAACACAUGCAUUUUCCUAACCCCCUUGAAUUCACUUAAUGUUAAAAUGACCUUUGGACUGAUGAGUCAUUGUUUACAAGAGCAGGAAUUUUCAAUUGUCUUAAUAUGCACCACUAGGAUAAAAAAACCUACACCGGACAAGGGAACAAUCCUUUAAAACGCGUUUUACUAUUAAUGUUUGGUAUGGAGUCUUAGGCGACCAAUUGAUUGGCCCUCACAUAUUUUAUGGAACUGUAAAUGGAACAAACUACUUAGAUUUUUUGUAACAGGACCUACCUAACCUUCUAGAUGGUUUGAACAAUGUUGAAAGAGACGAGCUUAUAUUCCAGUAGGAUGGAGCCCCUCCACAAUUUAAUGCAACAGUACGUCAAUGGCUGACUGAAAACUAUCCCGAGUGGAUUGGACGUGGGGGAACUGUCACAUGGCCUGCUCGAUCUCCCAACCUUACACCUAUGGACUUUGUGUGGAGUUUUUUUAAGCAGGAAGUUUAUUCCACCCCAGUAAACUCAGAAGAAGAAUUACGAGGCAGAAUUAGUCUGGCUGCUCAAAGGUUUCAGGAAAAACUGUCUUUUAAAAUGACCGUAGGAGCAAUGAGAAAGCGAGCAAGAACUUGUGUGAGAAAAGAAGGUCGCCAUUUUGAGAAUGAACUGCAAUGAUUUUACUUUUAAUGUUUUGUGUUCAUGAGGUAUUCUAAUUUUCAUUUACCUUAUUGAUAAUUGAUGAAAGUUCCAUUAUUAAAUAUCUUUACUAAUGCUAAAAAAUUAUGUUUAUUAUACCGUCCUAUGACUACUCAGUGUAAACUUUUAACCUGUACUGAUUUUUUUAAAUGGUAAAACACCUAAAUAGUUGGUCAUAUGGCCGAUGGUCGUAUGGCAUACCACUUUUCCUAUUAAAUGGUAAAGUUUUUAAUAUCACUUGACACAUUCUUGUGUACAGGGUGUGGUAAAAAGAUGGGGUUCAAUGAUAUUUAAGUUUUUCUGAAACUUAGCAACUUUGCCAUUUAAAUCGAC